rnacentral:rRNA from 1 species
GAUGAACGCUGGCGGCGUGCUUAAUACAUGCAAGUCGAGCGAACAGACGAGGAGCUUGCUCCUCUGACGUUAGCGGCGGACGGGUGAGUAACACGUGGAUAACCUACCUAUAAGACUGGGAUAACUUCGGGAAACCGGAGCUAAUACCGGAUAAUAUAUUGAACCGCAUGGUUCAAUAGUGAAAGACGGUUUUGCUGUCACUUAUAGAUGAAUCCGCGCCGCAUUAGCUAGUUGGUAAGGUAACGGCUUACCAAGGCAACGAUGCGUAGCCGACCUGAGAGGGUGAUCGGCCACACUGGAACUGAGACACGGUCCAGACUCCUACGGGAGGCAGCAGUAGGGAAUCUUCCGCAAUGGGCGAAAGCUUGACGGAGCAACGCCGCGUGAGUGAUGAAGGUCUUCGGAUCGUAAAACUCUGUUAUUAGGGAAGAACAAAUGUGUAAGUAACUAUGCACGUCUUGACGGUACCUAAUCAGAAAGCCACGGCUAACUACGUG